CCUACGGGUGGCUGCAGUGGGGGAUAUUGCACAAUGGGGGGUACCCUGAUGCAGCGACGCCGCGGGGGUGAAGAAGGGCCGCGGCGCGUAAAGCCCUGGCAGCAGGGAAGAAAAGGACGGUACCUGAAGAAGAAGCCCCGGCUAACUACGGGCCAGCAGCCGCGGUAAAACGUAGGGGGCAGGCGUUAUCCGGAUUUACUGGGUGUAAAGGGGGCGGAGGCGGGCUUUUAAGUCAGCGGUAAAAUUUCGGGGCUCAACCCCGUCCGGCCGUUGAAACCGGGGGCCUUGAGUGGGCGAGAAGCAGGCGGAAUGCGUGGUGUAGCGGUGAAAUGCAUAGAUAUCACGCAGAACCCCGAUUGCGAAGGCAGCCUUCCGGCGCCCUACUGACGCUGAGGCACGAAAGUGCGGGGAUCGAACAGGAUUAGAUACCCCUGUAGUC
rnacentral:rRNA from 1 species